GACGAACGCUGGCGGCGUGCUUAACACAUGCAAGUCGAACGGAAAGGCCCUGCUUUUGUGGGGUGCUCGCGUGGCGCACGGGUGAGUAACACGUGAGUAACCUGCCCUUGACUUUGGGAUAACUUCAGGAAACUGGGGCUAAUACCGGCUAGGAGCUCCUGCUGCAUGGUGGGGGUUGGAAAGUUUCGGCGGUUGGGGAUGGACUCGCGGCUUAUCAGCUUGUUGGUGGGGUAGUGGCUUACCAAGGCUUUGACGGGUAGCCGGCCUGAGAGGGUGACCGGCGACAAUGGGACUGAGAGACGGCCCAGACUCCUACGGGAGGCAGCAGUGGGGAAUAUUGCACAAUGGGCGGAAGCCUGAGGCAGCAACGCCGCGUGCGGGAUGACGGCCUUCUGGUUGUAAACCGCAGUCGCCUGUGACGAAGCGUGAGUGACGGUAAUGGGUAAAGAAGCACCGGCUAACUACGUG
rnacentral:rRNA from 1 species